CACCAGUUGACUCCAGUUCACCUCAUUGGCAACUAUGGGGCUCUGUGGGGCUCUAUGGGUCUCUGUGGGGCGCUGUGGGGCACUAUGGCUCUCUAUGGGGUUCUAUGGGUCUCUAUGGGUCUCUAUGGGUCUCUAUGGGUCUCUAUGGGUCUCUAUGUGGGGUCUCUAUGGGUCUCUAUGGGUCUCUAUGGGUCUCUAUGGGUCUCUAUGGGUCUCUAUGGGUCUCUGUGGGUCUCUAUGGGGCACUAUGGGGCACUAUGGGGCUCUAUGGGGCACUAUGGGGCUCUAUGGGAUCUCUGUGGGGCACUAUGGGUCUCUAUGGGGCUCUAUGGGUCUCUAUGGGGCACUAUGGGUCUCUAUGGCGUGCUAUGUGUCUCUGUGGGGCACUAUAGGGCUCUAUGGGGUCUCUGUGGGGCACUAUGGCUCUUUGUGGGGCACUAUGGUUCUCUAUGGGGCACUAUGGGUCUCUGUGGGGCGCUGUGGGGCUCUAUGGGGCACUAUGGCUCUCUAUGGGGUUCUAUGGGUCUCUAUGGGUCUCUAUGGGUCUCUAUGGCGUGCUAUGUGUCUCUAUGGGGCACUAUAGGGCUCUAUGGGGUCUCUAUGGGGCACUAUGGGUCUCUAUGGGGCACUAUGGGUCUCUGUGGGUUUCCGUGGGUCUCUAUGGGUUUCUACGGGGCUCUGUCGGUCUCUAUGGGGCACUCUGGGGCUCUAUGGGAUCUCUGUGGGGCACUAUGGUUCUCUAUGGGGCACUAUGGGUCUCUGUGGGGCGCUGUGGGGCUCUAUGGGGCACUAUGGCUCUCUAUGGGGUUCUUUGGGUCUCUAUGGGUCUCUAUGGGUCUCUGUGGGUCUCUAUGGGGCACUAUGGGGCUCUAUGGGGCACUAUGGGGCUCUGUGUCUCUAUGGGUCUCUGUGGGGCACUGUGUGUCUCUAUGGGUCUCUAUGGGGCACUAUGGGGCUCUAUGGGAUCUCUGUGGGGCACUAUGGGUCUCUGUGGGGCACUAUGUGUCUCUAUGGGACUCUAUGGGUCUCUAUGGGGCACUAUGGGGCUCUAUGGGGCUCUAUGUGUCUCUGUGGGGCACUAUGGGUCUCUAUGGGGCUCUGUGGGUCUCUAUGGGGCACUAUGGGGUCACUAUGUGUCUCUAUGUGUCACUAUGGGUCCCUAUGGGUUUCUGUGGGGCUCUAUGGGGCACUGUGGGUCUCUGUGUGUUUCUAUGGGGCACAGUGUCUUUAUGGGUCUCUGUGGGUCUCUCUGGGGCACUAUGGGUCUCUAUGGGGCGCUAUGGGGCUCUGUGGGUCUCUAUGGGGCGCUAUGGGUCUCUAUGGGUCUCUAUGGGGCACUAUGGGUCUCUAUGGGGCACUGUGUGUCUCUAUGGGGCACUGUGGGUCUCUGUGGGUCCCUAUGUGUCUCUAUGGGGCACUGUGUGUCUCUAUGGGGCACUGUGUAUUUCUAUGGGGCACUGUGUCUUUCUAUGGGUCCCUAUGUGUCUCUAUGGGGCACUGUGUCUUUCUAUGGGGCACUGUGUGUCUCUAUGGGGCCCUGUGAGUCUCUAUGGGGCACUGUGUCUUUCUAUGGGGCACUGUGGGUCUCUAUGGGGCACUGUGUGUUUCUAUGGGUCCCUAUGGGUCUCUAUGGGGCACUGUUUAUUUCUAUGGGGCACUGUGUGUUUCUAUGGGGCGCUGUGUGUCUCUAUGGGGCGCUGUGUGUCUCUAUGGGGCACUGUGUAUUUCUAUGGGGCACUGUGUGUCGCUAUGGGGCACUGUGUGUCUCUAUGGGGCACUGUGUGUUUCUAUGGGGCACUGUGGGUCUCUAUGGGGCACUGUGUGUUUCUAUGGGGCACUGUGUAUUUCUAUGGGGCACUGUGGGUCCCCAUUGUCCCCACGGUCCCCAAUGACGACACCGAGUCAGCGCUGGGGGGGCGGAGCUUUUCAUUGGGGGGUCAGGGGUCAAAGGUCAAAGGUCAGGGGUCAGUCCCUCCAGGUGACCUCCACCUCAUCC
rnacentral:lncRNA from 1 species